GGAGUUUGGGCCGUGUCUCAGUCCCAAUGUGGCCGUCCGACCUCUCAGUCCGGCUACAGAUCGUCGCCUUGGUAAGCCGUUACCUUACCAACUAGCUAAUCUGACGCGGGCCCAUCUCAUACCACCGGAGUUUUUCACACUGUGUCAUGCGACACCGUGCGCUUAUGCGGUAUUAUCAGUCGUUUCCAACUGCUAUCCCCCAGUAUGAGGCAGGUUGCCCACGCGUUACUCACCCGUGCGCCGGUCGCCAUCUAUCAAAGCAAGCUUCGAUAAUGAUGCCCCUCGACUUGCAUGUGUUAAGCCUGUAGCUAGCGUUCAUC
rnacentral:rRNA from 1 species